rnacentral:rRNA from 1 species
ACGGGGGGAGCAAGCGUUGUUCGGAUUUACUGGGCGUAAAGGGCGCGUAGGCGGCCACCGCAAGUCGACUGUGAAAUCUCCGGGCUUAACUCGGAACGGCCAAUCGAUACUGACGUGCUAGAGUGCAGAAAGGGCAAUCGGAAUUCUUGGUGUAGCGGUGAAAUGCGUAGAUAUCAAGAGGAACACCUGAGGCGAAGGCGGGUUGCUAGGCUGACACUGACGCUGAGUGCGCGAAAGCCAGGGGAGCAAACGG